UCUGGUGUCCUGGGCGUAGAGGAACAACACCAAUCCAUCCCGAACUUGGCGGUUAAACUCUACUGCAGUGACAAUACUGUAGGAGAGGUCCUGCAGCAAAAUAGCUCGAUGCCAGGA
rnacentral:rRNA from 1 species